ensembl:snoRNA
GGCCUCCUGGUGCUUACUACAGCUGUGUUCUUACACUGUAUAGAAAGAGGAGGCAAAGUAAAUCUACCCAAUAUGCACCUCAGCCCAGGCCGUAUGCCUGGUCUGCAUUGUGAAUGGGAAAACAUGA